rnacentral:rRNA from 1 species
UACGUAGGCAGCGAGCGUUGUUCGGAAUUACUGGGCGUAAAGAGUGUGUAGGCGGUGCUCCCAGUCUGUUGUGAAAUCUCCCGGCUUAACUGGGAGGGUGCAGCGGAAACUAGAGUGCUAGAGGGUGGGAGAGGUAAGCGGAAUUCCUGGUGUAGCGGUGAAAUGCGUAGAUAUCAGGAGGAACACCUGUGGUGUAGACAGCUUACUGGACCACUUCUGACGCUGAGGAGCGAAAGCCAGGGGAGCAAACGGG